CGAGCCGGCCGGGCGAUCGCGGGGCGGCCGCGCAGGCGGACGCCCUGAGGAAAGUCCGAGCUGCACAGGGCAGGGUGCUGGAUAACGUCCAGUGGGGGCGACCCUAAGGAAAGUGCCACAGAAAACAAACCGCCGGGCAUGCCCGGUAAGGGUGAAACGGUGCGGUAAGAGCGCACCAGAGGUCAGGUGACUGGCCUGCUUGGUAAACCCCACCCGCAGCAAGACCGAAUAGGAAGAGGAUGAGGCGGCCCGCGGACUCUUCGGGUUGGUCGCUAGAGGUUCCCGGCAACGGGGAUCCCAGAUAAAUGAUCGCCCACGACAGAACUCGGCUUACAGGCCGACUCGCGCC
rnacentral:RNase_P_RNA from 2 species